AAGGAAGUACAGAAAAGGUAAGCACUGCUAAUUCUUACACCCCGGGGUUAAACUCCCCGGCUUCCUUAA
rnacentral:tRNA from 2 species